ACGCUCGACACCUACGGGAGCAGCAGUGGGGAAUAUUGCACAAUGGGGGAAACCCUGAUGCAGCGACGCCGCGUGAAGGAAGAAGUAUCUCGGUAUGUAAACUUCUAUCAGCAGGGAANAAAUGACGGUACCUGACUAAGAAGCCCCGGCUAACUACGUGCCGACAGCCGCGGUAAUCUGAGCGGGCUGGCAAGGC
rnacentral:rRNA from 1 species